GACGAACGCUGGCGGCGUGCUUAACACAUGCAAGUCGAACGGAAAGGCCCUGCUCUUGUGGGGUGCUCGAGUGGCGAACGGGUGAGUAACACGUGAGUAACCUGCCCUUGACUUUGGGAUAACUUCAGGAAACUGGGGCUAAUACCGGAUAGGAGCUCCUGCUGCAUGGUGGGGGUUGGAAAGUUUCGGCGGUUGGGGAUGGACACGCGGCUUAUCAGCUUGUUGGUGGGGUAGUGGCUUACCAAGGCUUUGACGGGUGGCCGGCCUGAGAGGGUGACCGGCCACAUUGGGACUGAGAUACGGCCCAGACUCCUACGGGAGGCAGCAGUGGGGAAUAUUGCACAAUGGGCGGAAGCCUGAUGCAGCAACGCCGCGUGCGGGAUGACGGCCUUCGGGUUGUAAACCGCUUUCGCCUGUGACGAAGCGUGAGUGACGGUAAUGGGUAAAGAAGCACCGGCUAACUACGUG
rnacentral:rRNA from 1 species